rnacentral:rRNA from 1 species
GACGAACGCUGGCGGCGUGCUUAACACAUGCAAGUCGAACGGAAAGGCCCUGCUUGCAGGGUCCUCGAGUGGCGAACGGGUGAGUAACACGUGGGUGAUCUGCCCUGCACUUCGGGAUAAGCCUGGGAAACUGGGUCUAAUACCGGAUAGGAGCCAUUUUUAGUGUGAUGGUUGGAAAGUUUUUUCGGUGUAGGAUGAGCUCGCGGCCUAUCAGCUUGUUGGUGGGGUAAUGGCCUACCAAGGCGGCGACGGGUAGCCGGCCUGAGAGGGUGGACGGCCACAUUGGGACUGAGAGACGGCCCAGACUCCUACGGGAGGCAGCAGUGGGGAGUAGUGCACAAUGGGCGCAAGCCUGAUGCAGCGACGCCGCGUGGGGGAUGACGGCCUUCGGGUUGGAAACUCCUUUCGCUAGGGACGAAGCGUUUUGUGACGGUACCUAGAUAAGAAGCACCGGCUAACUACGUG